rnacentral:rRNA from 1 species
AUUGAACGCUGGCGGCAGGCCUAACACCUGCAAGUCGAGCGGAGCGGCGGACGGGUGAGUAAUGCCUAGGACUCGGCCUGGUAGCGGGGGAUGAGGACCGGGAAUGGGCGCUAGUACCACAUACUAUUAGCUUCGCCUAGGUCGGAUUAGCUUGAUGGUGGGGGAAAGGCCUCCCAAGGCGACGAACCGUAACUGGUCUGAGAGGGUGAUCAGUCACACUGGAACUGAGACACGGUCCAGACUCCUACGGUAGGCAGCAGUGGGGAAUAUUGGAAAAUGGGCGAAAGCCUGAUCCAGCCAUGCCGCGUGUGUGAAGAAGGCCUUCGGUUUGUAAAGCACGUUAAGUUGGGAGGCGUUACCAACAGAAUAAGCACCGGCUAACUACGUGCCAGCAGCCGCGGUAAUUC